ACAACUUGAGUUUCUAUUAGCAAAUGAGCCAAGCAACAACACUAAUGAGUUUGCUGUGAUUGACAGGAUAGGUGUGCAGAAGUUGAGGCCAUCACUUGAGGAACUGUUGGUUCUCAAUUUGAAAGAGCUUUCCUAGCGUCUUGACUAUGCACAUACGGAUGAGGAUAAUAGGUUGUUUGUCAUUCCAGCAGCAGACUUGACAACCGAGGUGAG
rnacentral:lncRNA from 1 species